rnacentral:lncRNA from 1 species
AUGAUCUCAACCUGUAAUUUAACAACGACUGACACACUGGCUACAGUGCCCUCUCAAGCUCAUCAAUGCCGGCGCUAGCUAGCAGCAGCACUCUCAUCACUGGUUUUCACUCACAGGCGUUGAAGCUUGAUGCGAUUAGGAUCAGUAGCUGUAGUUCUUGACGAACAUGCCUUCCUUGGCGGCGGCGGCCUCGCCGUCGCUGGUGUACUUCCCCAGCUGCGCCAGGGAGUUUGCCUUGGCGCGCAGCAGCAGUGCCUCCUGCGCCGCCGCCACGUUCUCCGGCCGUCCUCCCCACGUCUUCAGGCACGUGUUCUGCAGCGCCCUCGCGUAUGAGAAGGACACGUGCCACGGGUUCGGCGACUGGUUCAUCGCGUUCAGGUUCAGCGUUGCCUCCACCUCUGACUGCCCGCCCGACAGGAACUGAAUCCACCAAGAACAAGAUAUCAUUCAUGAACAAUGGAUAACUAAGAUGAUCCAUGAUUGUGCAUAUGUAUAUGUAUAGUGAAGGAUUGGUUGCUGACCAUGAUGCCGGGGACGGAAGGAGGGAUCCUCCUCUGGAGGAGCUUGAGGGUGUAGCUGGCGACUUGCUCAGGGGUGGCCCGCUCCUUGCACUCGGCGCCGGGUGUCACCAUGCUGGGCUUGAGGAGGAUGCCCUCGAACAAGACGUUGUUCUGGGCCAUGUAGUAGAAAGUCUCCGCCCACACCUUCUGCGCCACCUCGAAGGUCCUGUCGAUGCCGUGCUCGCCGUCCAGCAGGAUCUCCGGCUCCACAAUCGGCACCAGACCGUUGUCCUGGAACAUCAAGAAACCAGAGGUUUACAUGUUGUUACAAAUUUUUAAAAUGUCAUACCUGACCAUUGUACUGUAAAAUGUUUUGGUCUGUC